AAAUUGAAGAGUUUGAUCAUGGCUCAGAUUGAACGCUGGCGGCAGGCCUAACACAUGCAAGUCGAACGGUAACAGGAAGCAGCUUGCUGCUUCGCUGACGAGUGGCGGACGGGUGAGUAAUGUCUGGGAAACUGCCUGAUGGAGGGGGAUAACUACUGGAAACGGUGGCUAAUACCGCAUAACGUCGCAAGACCAAAGAGGGGGACCUUCGGGCCUCUUGCCAUCAGAUGUGCCCAGAUGGGAUUAGCUAGUUG
rnacentral:rRNA from 2 species